CCUACGGGUGGCAGCAGUGGGGAAUAUUGGACAAUGGGCGGAACCCUGAUCCAGCGACGCCGCGUGAGUGAAGAAGUAUUUCUGUAUGUAAAGCUCUAUCAGCAGGGAAGCAAGAAAUGACGGUACCUGACUAAGAAGCUACGGCUAACUACGUGACAGCAGCCGCGGGAAUACGUAGGGGGCAAGCGUUAUCCGGAUUUACUGGGUGUAAAGGGAGCGUAGGCGGGUACGCAAGUCUGGCGUGAAAGGCGUGGGCCCAACCCCCGGACUGCUUUUGAAACUGUAUAACUAGAGUGCAGGAGAGGUAAGUGGAAUUCCUAGUGUAGCGGUGAAAUGCGUAGAUAUUAGGAAGAACACCAGUUGCGAAGGCAGCUUACUGGACUGUAACUGACGUUGAGGCUCGAAAGCGUGGGGAGCAAACAGGAUUAGAUACCCGAGUAGUC
rnacentral:rRNA from 1 species